rnacentral:rRNA from 1 species
UAAGUAAGCUUUGAUCCAGAGAUUUCCGAAUGGGGAAACCCAGCAUGAGUUAUGUCAUGUUAUCGAUAUGUGAAUACAUAGCAUAUCAGAAGGCACACCCGGAGAACUGAAACAUCUUAGUACCCGGAGGAAGAGAAAGAAAAUUCGAUUCCCUUAGUAGCGGCGAGCGAAACGGGAAGAGCCCAAACCAACAAGCUUGCUUGUUGGGGUUGUAGGACACUCUAUACGGAGUUACAAAGGACGACAUUAGACGAAUCAUCUGGAAAGAUGAAUCAAAGAAGGUAAUAAUCCUGUAGUCGAAAAUGUUGUCUCUCUUGAGUGGAUCCUGAGUACGACGGAGCACGUGAAAUUCCGUCGGAAUCUGGGAGGACCAUCUCCUAAGGCUAAAUACUCUCUAGUGACCGAUAGUGAACCAGUACCGUGAGGGAAAGGUGAAAAGCACCCCGGAAGGGGAGUGAAAUAGAACCUGAAACCGUGUGCUUACAAGUAGUCAGAGCCCGUUAAUGGGUGAUGGCGUGCCUUUUGUAGAAUGAACCGGCGAGUUACGAUUUGAUGCAAGGUUAAGCAGUAAAUGUGGAGCCGUAGCGAAAGCGAGUCUGAAUAGGGCGUUUAGUAUUUGGUCGUAGACCCGAAACCAGGUGAUCUACCCUUGGUCAGGUUGAAGUUCAGGUAACACUGAAUGGAGGACCGAACCGACUUACGUUGAAAAGUGAGCGGAUGAACUGAGGGUAGCGGAGAAAUUCCAAUCGAACCUGGAGAUAGCUGGUUCUCUCCGAAAUAGCUUUAGGGCUAGCCUCAAGUGAUGAUUAUUGGAGGUAGAGCACUGUUUGGACGAGGGGCCCCUCUCGGGUUACCGAAUUCAGACAAACUCCGAAUGCCAAUUAAUUUAACUUGGGAGUCAGAACAUGGGUGAUAAGGUCCAUGUUCGAAAGGGAAACAGCCCAGACCACCAGCUAAGGUCCCAAAA